rnacentral:lncRNA from 1 species
CAAAUUUCCACCCUUCUGUGUUCCAAAAGCAAUUGUACUAGGCCUGUUUUCUAGCAUUUACUGUACUGUGUUAUAGCUACUCACUUAAAUCUCUCUCAUAUCAGCCCAUGUUCAAAGUAUCUGGCUUAGGCUUCCCUCUAUACCAGCCCCUCCCCAAAAGAUAUGUCCACCCCGAAACUGUGAAUGGGAUCUUCUUUGGAAAAAGGGUCUUUGAGGAUGUACUUAAGGAUCUUUAGAUAAGAGCAGCCUGCAUUAUUCCAAUGGGCCCUGAAUCCAAUGAUAUGUCCUUCUAAGAUCAAGAAGAAGAGAAGCCCACAGAGGAGAAGGCCAUAUGAAGGUAAAGGCAGGAAAUGAAGGGGCCAACAGCCUGGAGAAAUUCAAAGAAACAAAGAAGGAGGCUCCCCUACAGCCCCUGGAGGGAGUGCAGCUCCAGCAACACCCACAUUUCUGAGCCCUGGACUCCAGAGUUGGUAGAGGACACAUCUUGGCUGUUCUAAAUCACUCAGUGUGUAGUCAUGUGUUAUGGCAGCCCUAGGAAAUUGAUACAAGCUCUAUUAUCAAUGUAUAUUCAUUUCAAUAGUUAUUUAUUUGAUUAAUUAAUUCAGGGCUAUGGAGAUCCUCCAUGGCUCCACAGGUUAAAAAGCUGACUAGUAACCAUGAGGAUGCCAGUUCCAGCCCUGGCCUCACUCAGUGGGUUAAGGAUGCAGCACUGCUGUGAGCUGUGGUAUACGUCAAAGAUGCAGCUUGGAUCCCACACUGCAGUGGCUAUGAUGUAGGCUGGCAGCUGCAGCUCCCAUUUGGCCCCAAGCUUGGGAACUUUCAUAUGCCGCAAGUGCAGCCCUAUAAAGCAAAAAAUAAAAAAAAAUAUUUUCAGGGCUAGGUUCCUCCUCAGUCUGGUGAUUGCAAGCCAAAAAGAAAUUGUAAGCUUCUCAAAAGUAAGGGUAGUAGGAGUUCCCACUAUGGUGCAGUGGGUUAAGGACCUGGCAUUAUCUUUGCAAAUGUGUGGGUUUGGUCCCCAGACUGGCAGGGUGGGUUAAGGAUCUGGCAUUGGUGUAGCUAUAGCUCAGAUUCAAUCUUUGGCCCAAAAACUUCUGUUAAGCUGCAGGUGUGGCCAAAUAAAUAAAUUAAAUAUUUAAAAUUUUAAAAGUAAAGGUGGUAAAAUUUAAUGUCAUAAUCAGAUAAAUAGCACUUUCUGCAGUAAUUAAAGAACAAAAAAUCCCUACCUUCCUCCAAGGCCUUACAGAGACAUAGAAGUGGAAAAAUGAGCAAAAAUGAAGGGGAAAUUCCCGAACUGACUCCCAGUUCCCACGCAAUGGUUGGUGCCUCAGCAUUGGUGUCUAAGCUGGUAAUGUCUGCCAGUCUUUACUGGGGCCAGGAAAGCCUCUCUCUCUGCCUGCUGAAGCCUAAGAAAAGCUAUGCCUGCAGAAACCACAUGGCAUAUUUUGUAGCAUCUUUUUCCCCCUGGGAAGGACUCUCUCUCCUCUACCCUCACUCUGUUAAAAUGAGUCUGCUAUCGGCCUUAACAUUUGGUGUUCAAACACAUUUUUCAGAAACAUGUCACCCAGGAAAGUAUGUAACUGCUUGCAUAUUGUUAAGUGAAAGGGGGGGGAAAUAAGCUAAAAAUAGUUUAUUCAGUUCAGUACCACUUUAAAAAAAAAGUUUAAAAUAAAGAAUAGUUAGACAGUAGUGAGGGUUGGAAGAUAAAGAAACUGAAGUGGUAACAGUAACUAUUUCUGGGUAGUGAGAUUACUGGUUAUAUAUUUUUUGAACUUUUCUGUUUUUCGUAUUUUUUAACUGACCAUAUUUUCUAUUAGAUAAAAACAAUACUACUUUAAAUAAAAAUAUAAUGAAAACACAAAAUAAAGGAGAGAGCAUCUUGACUAUUCAGAACCUGAUAUGAGCACUGGUCCAAGAGAUUAACAUUUGCAUACAGGUGGCCCAUAUUAUGAAUAAACAUGUAUUAUAAUACAUAAUUUAGCAUCAAGCCCAUGAUGGAAUGGAGAAAGAAUGGUUAGAAGUUCAAGUUGUGGAAUAAAGAAUAUUUGAAUUGGAAUCCCAGUCCUUAAUAAUGAUGUUAUCUUGAGCAAACUCCCUAAGCAUUCAAAUUAAAUAAGACAGCAUAUAAAAUUCACUUGGCAUAAUAGCUGAUGCAUGAUAAACUUCAAAUAAAUACCAGUAAUCUAUAAAUUAUCAUCACAUAGGUUACCAGUCAUUGUCAUAAAAAUUAAUUUUCAAUUGAUAUUUCUUCAUAGAAUCCUUAAUUCAUUUCAUAUUAGGUUAAGCAGAACAAAAUAGGGAAUGUAAAUAAUCUAAAAUUAAAUAAUAUCCUAUUAUCUUUGGGUAAUUCAUACUGUGACUAAAUUUUAUCCUUACUCUGGUCCAUAAGAGUAGAUGUUUUCUAGCUAACCAUUUAAUUACAUAAUAUUAUAAUCAAUUUUUCUUAAAGAUGUAACAUCUAUAAGAAUGUUUGGUAGGGAAGAAAUUUUGAAGCUUUUUAAUGCAAGCCAUUAAUUUUGCAAAGGAAGAAAUGAGGUGUGGUUCCUAUAGCCACUUGGCUAGAGAGUUGUAGGGAAGUCAGGUCUUGCAUUUCCUCCACCAGGCAAGGUCUUUUCACUGGGCCUUUUUCUUUCUUUCUUUCUUUCUUUUUUAAUCUCUUGCACAGAGGCAAGCACUCCAUCCAUUCUACUGCCAUAAUCCUGACGGGGGCGGAAUGCUGUCAAAGCGGCCACCGGGGAAAAUUCAUGCUCAGACAAGGAUGUCAGUUACAUGAAGACAACAGAGACCCAGAUGAUUAAUUGGUAAGCAAGUAAAUGGUGAAUCCAGGAGAGAAUUAAGUGAGUUUUUGAUGGUUAGUUUAGUAUUACCUGAGAUAAUCGAGAGAUUAAAUUAUUAAAAAAACUUUAUGAUACCACUUUUUUAUUUUCAUAGCACUGACAGAUAGAGCUUCCUUAAUCACUCAUGAUGUCUCUCUCUUCUGAAACCUUUUAAGUACAUAUUUGCCUGCAGGAUUUUAAAGAUAUAUGAAAUAUGAAUUACCUUGAAGCAAUGGUGGGAAGAAUGGUGACAUUAUGACAAUGUACUCAUCCUCCCUCUUCCCAUCAAAAUUAUUUUCCACAUAGCCAAAUACCAAACUCUGAAGAAAAAUGUGGGACAAAAAUAUGAGCCUUCAUCAAAAGAAUCAUGCCUUUAUAACUCUAAAUGUAGGUAAGAGGGUCCUGGGAAGAAUUUUUCCUACUGCCUCAUAAUCAAUGACCUGAGAUCAGAGCUGAGGUCAAAAAGCAUUCAGAACUCCAUCUUUUAAAUGGAGGACUCAAAAACUCCAAGAGGACAAUCUUCUGAGAAUUAUAAAGAAAGCAGAAAAACUAGCAUUAGUCCUAAAAGGCAUUGCCCUAAUAUUUCACAUCAGCCUUCCUCAUAGGCUAAGUUACAGGAUAAGAAGAGAUUCACUGGAGUUUUCAGAGACAGGAGUUGAUGGUAAGAUCUUAUUUCCUCUUUCCUGACAAUGCGAAGCAUGUGUGUGUUGAAGGGGUUUCAAGAAACUCACUCAAGAAGAUCAUGGAUGCCAUUGAGAAAAGGAAACCAGUAUCUAAUCUCCAAGUGGAUCCUUAAAGAAAUGCAGAACACGCAGACUCAUCUAUGCCCUGAGCAACACGUAGUGAAGAAGUUAAUGUAUGCACCUGACACAUAUCCCUGAAAUUUGGGGGUAGGGGAGGGAUAACAUCUAAAGACAUAGAGUCACUUGAAAAUUUCCCAAAGGCAGGAGGUUUGCAAGAAUAGUCUGAGUCAGGCUUGAGCAGAGACCACACUACCAUGUGCCUAGGAAAAGACUGAUGGAGGAUACUACCACUUUAGAGCCUCGUGAAUCUUGGAGGGUGCCAUAAAUGACCUCAGAGAUUCUGGAAAGGAUCCUAAAUUUUCCAGGUAAAAUAAGCUGCCAUAAGAUUGCCAGAUGGUUUUUAAGUCAAGAAAGAGAAAGUCUUGCUUAGACAAGGGGUUUAAGGGUACUGACUACUUAGCUGGGCUAAACUGAUAUAGGGCUGCCUCUCUCUUUAUAAGUCCUUGAUAAUGGAAGGGAUUGGCUAUAAAGCUGCCCACCCCCCAGGUAAACAAACACAUCAUCUACCCUAAGUCAACCUUCCCAGCAGAAGACAGCUGCAGAGUUGGAACUAAACAGAACCAAAAUAGGACCAAUCAGACAGGAUACUAUGUCAGUUGUUGAGUACAGAUAACUGUCUCUUUUCCCUCCCUGCUCUUUGCCCCAAUCCAGAGGAGGAUCUGGACCUUAAAGAGGCAGGAAGUCAUCUCCAGGCAAAAUCACCUCCCUUCUCUACCUUGUCCCACCAACUCAAGCUAUCAGGGUCCCAGGUUAUGCCAACUGUUCUAAAGGGAAGAAAGAAGAGAUUUAGGUAAAGUUUCAGGCUGACCCAGACUUACUAAUGCUAAGUUAUGGAAUCUGACCUAAAAAUCUGACAAGGCAGAUUUGACAAAAUAGUUGAAAACAGGGAAUGAAGAAAAAUAAAACUCUAUCAUAUACACUCGGUGAGUUAGCCUCUUUAAUAUGCCUUUUAAAAAAGACAUAAACUUUAUUUUUUAUAGUAGUUUAGGAUUUACAAAAACAACACUGAGUGGAAAGUACAAAGUUUGUACACACCCUUCCCCUUACCCAGGCACAACCUCCGCCACCAUCAACAUCUCACACCAGAGUGUGUUUUUUACAGUCAAUGAACCUACAUUGAUACAUCAUUAUCAUCAAAGUUCAUCCAAAGUUCAUUAUCAAUCGUACGUGACAUUAGGAUUCAAAUUUGCUGUUAUAUGUUUUACAGGUUUUAACAAAUGUAUAAUGACCUGUACAUACCUUAUAGUAUCAUACAGAAUAAUUUUACUGCCCUAAAAACUCCCUGAUCUCCAUCUAUCAUUUACCUUUUAUAUCCAUAGUUUCUCUGGAAUAGUAGUGAGCUCAUUCAAAUUUUCCAAAUCCUAACCUCUCCAUACUGGUGAAUAAUAACCCUCUGUAAGAAGAGCUUGCUAUUUGCUAGUCAUGAAUAAAUGGGUGUUUUAUUAUUAUCACAUGACUCUUUAUUCCACUUUCUCGCGAUAAUGAUCUUACUCCUAGGGUAUGUCCGUCUGCAUGAAUGGAGUCUACCAAUACAACACAUCCAGUGAAAUCCUUGCAGGACACUAUCCUAUCCAAAACAUUCAUACAACAUUUGCUCCAUCUCCAAAGGUUCUUGAAAUUUAGUCCAGUUCAAAUGUCCACAAGCAUAUUUUGGUCCAUGCCAAAUGGUUUUGGACAGGACCAAAUAUCCAGGACCUUUCAGCAUGGGCCAAAUUACUUAGAGACAUUUGGACAGGACCAAAUGACUACCAAACAAUGCAAUAAAACCAGAAAGUAUCUCCACACCUUUCACUGAGGCAUUUACUUAUAACUCUAAUGUGAUCUAUCCUUCAAAGAAAAGAGGGUGAUAUUAUCAACAUUUAACAAAUGAAACAAAGAGAAUAAACAUGCCCUGAAUGUUAGAUGUCACAUAUUCAGUCAUUGGAAAACUAAAAUCAAGUAAAUGUAACUGUCUCUUGUUUAACACAAGUAGGUC